CGGACGGGUGAGUAAUGUCUGGGAAACUGCCUGAUGGAGGGGGAUAACUACUGGAAACGGUAGCUAAUACCGCAUAACGUCGCAGACCAAAGAGGGGGACCUUCGGGCCUCUUGCCAUCGGAUGUGCCCAGAUGGGAUUAGCUAGUAGGUGGGGUAAAGGCUCACCUAGGCGACGAUCCCUAGCUGGUCUGAGAGGAUGACCAGCCACACUGGAACUGAGACACGGUCCAG
rnacentral:rRNA from 1 species